ACAAGGAUGAGCUUCAAGGGUAAAGAAUCACUUAAUCUUUACUUCUCUUUAAUAUUGUUAAAGAGUUUAUUUUGGUUCACCAUAUACUAGGCUUUGAAAGUCAUGGGUUUUAUGAAUUGUUUUUGGAUGCAUGCCUACUUUAAAGUGUUAAUAGCUUGCAUGUGUAUUCAAAUGUUCAUACUUGUUCUUAGCUAGGACAAAAUUUUUCCUUCAGAACCUGCCCCAAUCUCUUUUCCACUUGUCAAGAGUAUGGCCUUUG
rnacentral:lncRNA from 1 species